CAUUCUCAAUCUACAGGUAUGCAGAAAUUUAUAAAAUUAUUUGCAAUAUUUUUAUCAUAAAAAUAAUUUACAUUUUCAGUAGCAAACUAUUCAUACUGCUAAAAUAAGCUUAUAAUGUAUUGUAUUUCAAUAUAAUUAAAAAAAAUAUUUUUUUUAUAUAUUAUCAUCUAAUCUAAAGCUCUUUCAUGGAUUGUACUAUACAUUUCAUUAGUAACUGGUAUAACAUAGUGGAAUAACUUGCAGUACAAUGAGACCUUCAAAAAGAUAUAAUGGAAUAACUUGAAUUAUAUGAGGCCUUCAAAAGAUAAAUUUAUAAAAGUCAAUUUUUUUUGUGGAUAGAAUCCAAAAUUAUAUCUAAGUUGUUCGAGAAAUACAAAUGUGAGAAUGGUUUGCGGUGCUAAUCGAAUAAAUGCAGACACUCACUGCCGAUACACUGGAUAAAACAUGUGUCGAAGGAUUAUCCCGAAAGUAGCCAGUCUGUAGCAACGUCGUUUUAAUC